UACGUAGGGUGCGAGCGUUUAAUCGGAAUUACUGGGCGUAAAGCGUGCGCAGGCGGUUUUGUAAGCCAGAUGUGAAAUCCCCGGGCUUAACCUGGGAAUGGCAUUUGGGACUGCAAGGCUCGAGUGCGGCAGAGGAGACUGGAAUUCCUGGUGUAGCAGUGAAAUGCGUAGAUAUCAGGAGGAACACCGAUGGCGAAGGCGGGUCUCUGGGCCGAUACUGACGCUGAGGAGCGAAAGCGUGGGGAGCGAAACAGGG
rnacentral:rRNA from 1 species